rnacentral:rRNA from 1 species
GACGAACGCUGGCGGCGUGCUUAACACAUGCAAGUCGAACGGAAAGGCCCUGCUUUUGUGGGGUGCUCGAGUUGCGACCGGGUGAGUAACACGUGAGUACCCUGUCCUUGACUUUGGGAUAACUUCAGGAAACUGGGGCUAAUACCGGAUAGGAGCUCCUGCUGCAUGGUGGGGGUUGGUAAGUUUCGGCGGUUGGGGAUGGACUCGCGGCUUAUCAGCUUGUUGGUGGGGUAGUGGCUUACCAAGGCUUUGACGGGUAGCCGGCCUGAGAGGGUGACCGGCCACAUUGGGACUGAGAUGCGGCCCAGACACCUACGGGAGGCAGCAGUGGGGAAGAUAGCACAAGGGGCGGAAGCCUGAUGCAGCAAAGCCGCGUGCGGGAUGACAGCCUUCGGGUUGGAAACCGCUUUCGCCUGUGACGAAGCGUGAGUGACGGUAAUGGGUAAAGAAGCACCGGCUAACUACGUG